CCCAAGCACAUCCAGAUUCUCCAUUCACAUGCUUGAAUAAUCAACUUCCAGCGGCGAUUCGAAGGGGAAAACUUGGUGAUUGUUGACUGCGGUUGAUGGCGACGGCGAUUCGAAGAGAAAUCGUCGAAAUUCUAAUUUCACCGACGAUCGGUGCGUAGAACUGAAUUUUGAUGGCGAAUCGAAGAGAUUUGCUUGAAAAUUGUGAAGUACGUUCAGCGGCACUACGUUUCUUUGAUUACGCCUAAAUGGUGGAAUAGAGAUAAUUGAGACUGGAUCUGGAGAGUCAAGUCAAGUCGGAGAGGACCUGGUGGUUUAGUUUUAUGUUACGAGAUUUGCAUUUCAUGUCAUAUAGAGACAUAUAUGGGCACGAAGGUCAGCGAAUGGAAAUGCUACCUAACAAACAAGAAAUCAAAAUCCUUCCAGCUGCUUUGUGGCAAAUACCGUACAAUACAACAAUAUUGUACAACAACGGCAUUCAUGUAAUUGACUAUGUCAUGAGUAUUACAUCAAAGUACUUCGAGGAGGAGAAAGACUAAUAGAUGUUGAGAAGAUGGUCACGAACUACCACAAAUAGUAACCAAUUAUUGAACUUUUUCUCUUCUUCAAACAUAGAGUUUGGUUUCUUUAUUGGUUUUUUGUGUAGAUGAUUUGAUUGAUAUUUUGAUUUGGUAACUACUCUUACUUAAAACAAGUCGGUUUUAU